UUACUUUGGCAGCAAAUACACUAAAACUGAAACGAUAUGAAAAAAGAUCAACACUGCCCCUGCACAAAGAUGACACACAGAUACCUGAAGGGAAAAAAAUGUGC
rnacentral:snRNA from 1 species